GUAAUUAAUUUAUUAUGGUUAAAUUAUGCUUUUUAUCAUAUUAUUAAAAAUAUUUUUAAUUUUAGUUGAGAUUAGUAAAUUUUAUUGAAUAUUUUUAUAUAUUAUAGUUAACGGUACUGUGAAGGAACUAUGAAAUAGAAAAGUUAUUUAUAAAAAAGAAAGAUGUUGUACCUUUUGUAUCAGGGUUAAUUAAAUAAUUUAUAUAAAUAUAUAUUUCUCGAAUAAAAAAGAGUUAUUUAAAUAUUUAAGUUAAUGUAAAAAAAUUAUUUAUAAUAUUUAGAUGGAAGUGAAAUAUUAAUCGAUUUUUUAUAUAUCUAGUUUUUUAAGAAGUAAAUUUAAUUUAGAUUUAAAUAAAGAUAAUUGAGAAUUGAUUUAAGAUUUAUUUUAUUUAAAUUAAGAUUAUUGGGGAUAAGCUUGAUUGUUGAUAUUAUAUUAAUAAAGUUAAUUUAAUUUUAGGCUUAGAAUUAGCCAUAAAUUAAAGUAUGUUAUAUUUUAUGUUGUUUAUGAAUUUUUUAGUUUAAUUAAUUUUAGUAUUAAAAAAGUAGAAUGAACUUGAAUUUUAUGAUAUUAUGAUUAAAUUAGUAUAAUUUUGUGUUGGGAAAUUUUAAAGAAAUGGAAAAUUAAAUUAAGGAAUUAGGCAAAUUUACUAUUCGCCUGUUUAUCAAAAACAUGUCCUUGGGAAUAUAAUUUAAGGUUGAACCUGCCCACUGAAAAUUUUUGAAGGGCCGCGGUAUUUUGACCGUGCAAAGGUAGCAUAAUCAGUAGUCUUUUAAUUGAAGGCUGGAAUGAAUGGUUUGACGAGAUAGUAACUGUCUUAGUUUAAAUAAUUAAAAUUUUAUUUUUAAGUUAAAAAGCUUAAAUUUUUGAAAGGGACGAGAAGACCCUAUAGAUUUUUAUAAUAAAUAAUAAAAUUAAGAAUUAGAUUUAAAAUUUUAUUAUUAUUAUUUGAUUGGGGUGAUAUGAGAAUAGAAAAACUUCUUUUUGAUUUAACAAAGAUUAUUGAAUUUAUGAUCCUUUAUUAAGGAAUAAAAGAUUAAAAUACCUUAGGGAUAACAGCGUAAUUUUGUUUGAGAGUUCUAAUCAAUAAUAAAGAUUGCGACCUCGAUGUUGGAUUAAGAAUAUUAUUUGGUGCAGUAAUUAAAUUAAUAAGUCUGUUCGACUUUUAAAUUCUUACAUGAUCUGAGUUCAAACCGGCGUGAGCCAGGUUGGUUUCUAUCUUUUUAUAAUAUUUAUAUUUUAGUACGAAAGGACCAAAUAUAGAAAAUAUUUUUUUUUGGUGGGUUUGAGUAAUUUUAAU
rnacentral:rRNA from 1 species